GACUCCAUAGAGUAGGGGUUAGCACGUCUGCUUUACAAGCAGAAGGUCUUGGGUUCACGCCCCGGGUGUAGCCA
rnacentral:tRNA from 1 species